rnacentral:snoRNA from 15 species
GCAUAAUGAUGAUGCAAAAUUUGUUCCGAUUAUUCAUGAAUGGAAUACCAACCUCCUACUCAUUCUGA